GGAUUUUUAAAUUGUAUACUACUGAAAGUCUUACUGAGGGAAAGUGUGAAAGAAAAUUGAUUAUGAAUAGUGCAAGAGAAGAAAAGAGAGACAGAAUGAGAGAAUGAUUUAAUUGGUCGAUGAAAGAAGAAAAAUUGUAGAAGGUGAAAUAAUGAAAAUAUUGAAAGUCUUAUUGAAGGAAAGUGUGAAAGAAAACUGAUUACGAAUACGACAAGAGAAGAAAAGAAAUGUACGGAGAGACGGAAUGAGAGUAUAAUUCAAUAGACGAAAGAAGAAAAAUGGAAAAGAAAUUGUAGAAUGGAAGAUAAAGGUUGAAAAAAAAAUUAAUAGCCAAUGUAAUGGAAGGAAAACAGCGUAAAGAAAACUGAUGGGAAAUAGCACCAAAGAAAACUAUGGGAAAACAAAAUGGGGGUACUAUUUAAUAUAUGAAAGUAAAGAAAAAAAAGAGAAAUGAGAAUAUGUCUACAUGAUUAAAGAGAUGAAACUAAACGGAAAUACCAAGAAUGGAGAACUUAAACAAAGCUGCAUAUAUAGAUAAUUUAAUAAGUGGUCAGUAGAUAAGAAAAUAAAUAAAACUGAAAAGACACACAAAAAAGCUACAUGUUUGUAUUGACGCAGAAAAAAGAAAAUUAAACAAAGAAAGACGAGAUAAGACCAGUAGUGCAGUUUUUAUAUUGAUGCAGAAAAGGAAAAGAAAAGAAAAGAAAAGAAAAGCGAUGGAAAUACGAAAUUGAUGCUAUGUAUUUUAAUUGAUGUAAAAAAAAGAAAAACUAUGAAAAGACGAAAUGAAGCUAGUGGUACAGUUUUUAUAUUGAUGUAGAAAAGAAAAGAAAAGAAAAGCGAUGGAAAUACGAAAUUGAUGCUAUAUAUUUUAAUUGAUGUAAAAAAAGAAAAACUAUGAAAAGACGAAAUAAAACUAGUGGUACAGUUUUUAUAUUGAUGUAGAAAAGGAAAAGAAAAGAAAAGAAAAGAAAA